AAAAAAAAAAAGAAAUGCCCGAUCUCAUCUGAACUCGGAAGUAAAGCAGGGUCGGGCCUGGUUAGUACUUGGAUGGGAGACCGCCUGGGAAUACCAGGU
rfam:Danio rerio chromosome 4, GRCz11 reference primary assembly.